rnacentral:lncRNA from 1 species
GAUCACACAAUCAGAUCAUCAGGAAAAAAAAAAAUAGAGAAAAAUCAUGGACGGAACUAGGAGAGUUGGAGUAGCCGUUGAUUUUUCAGCGUGCAGCAAGAAAGCAUUGCAGUGGGCUGCAGAUAACGUUGUUCGUAAUGGGGAUCAUCUGAUUCUUGUUACCAUUGUGCCCGAAGGUGGCCUUGAGAAAGGCGAGCAGCAGCUCUGGGAAGACUCUGGUUCCCGUAUGUCGUCAUCAUUGAAACAAACUUAAAAGCAAAUUUGAUGGGAUGAUAGUUUGUACUGGGAGUUUUUUUUUUUUUUCCUUUUUUGCUAUUAAUUUUGGUUUUGUUGGAUUAUAUAUUAUUGUAGCUUUAAUUCCUCUGGCUGAGUUCUCUGAACCUACCAUCAUGAAGAAAUAUGGAGCGAAACCCGAUGCUGAAACCUUGGAUAUUGUCAACACGGUGGCUAGGCAAAAGCAGGUCCAAAUUUUUUUUUUCUUUUAAAUUGAGAAAUGAGAUUGAUAGUAGUGUUCUUGUCAAGCUGAACCUGUGAAUGAAUGCGGGCAGAUUGUUGUGGUUAUGAAGAUCUUUUGGGGUGAUCCUCGUGAGAAGAUAUGUGAAGCAAUUGAUAAAAUUCCCCUUAGCUGUCUUGUGAUUGGAAACAGAGGACUUGGCAAGCUUAAGAGGUUGGAUUUCAUCAAUAUUGAACUCCUAAUUUUCUUUUUAAAAAAAAUAAAUUUGGUAUGUUUUUUAAUGUUAUAGUGUUACUUUCGAUUAUGUUGGACAUUAUGUUAAAGCUCUGCUGUUUGUUUCCAUUCGGAGUCAUCUGGGAUUUCAGAUGCUCUCUAUUGGAAAAUUUUCUAUAUGUGACUUUAUGAGGCCAUGAAAAGACACCAACCCAAACUUUUUUCCAAUUAAUGAUUUUUCUUUUGGAAUUAAACUUUUUUCUGAGAACUUUCUUGAAACAAUGGGCUAAAGUCUUCCCUGCUAUUUGAAUCAAGUGUCCGUAUAGCUGGCAUCAAGCACCAUGGCUUCAACGGAUAAUUAUUGAGACCUCUUUUGACUGAAAGUGUUUUCUUUUGGGACUUUUUUGGUUUAUAAUUUUCUCUUCUUUUUGUAUCUUUGCAGGGCUAUAAUGGGCAGUGUAAGCAACUAUGUAGUGAAUAAUGGUUCCUGUCCUGUUACUGUUGUGAAGCAAGGAAUCCAUGAAACCUGAUUCUAAUUUAAUCUUGCUGGAGGAAUAAGUGCAAUGUUGCCUCUGGCUGAACUG